UCCAGCAUCAGAACUUGGCAUACUGCUUUGACAAUAUAACAAAAUGUAUCAGACCCUUGAGUCAAACCAAGGAACCGAGAGGUACUAUUAGAACAUCAAUUAAGAAAGAGUUAUGUACAUGGCCGAGAGGACAACACUUGCAAGCAGGCGAAGCAGCGGUUACACAAAUACUAUCUCCUGCAAGUCUCUCAAGUAAAUUUACAUCGAAAAGAGAGAGGGGGAAAGAGACAAGAGCAGCAGCUACAGAGAGCAGCACCCGCAAGGGCCGGCUCGGGCGGAUGCCGCGUGGGAGGCCGGCGGUGGCUCCGUCUUCCCCUGCCGCUCGAUGAGGCCGGCCGCAGGGCACCGGUCGAUCUGGCUGUUCCCCUGCUCAAACGCAGUGGUGGUCGCAUUCUGCUGCUCCGACGGUCACCCCCGCAGAACAUCCCCUUCCGGCAAAGAUUGCGAAACUGGACCGAGCGAUGACAGAGUUGAACCGCUCAAGUGCAGUCCCUGUGAUGUCUAGUUAUCAGUUAUCACCGUCGACUAAAUGGAGAGCUCUGUUUCAACUGGCAUCACGACAACUGAUGUUUCAACUGCCUAAUCUUUCAUCAUUUGGCAACCGCCGUCCUUAGCUAGCUGCCACCAGAUCUAACGGAGAGCAUAUCUGAGAGAGAGAAUCAUCUGAGUGGCUUAGGCUCCGGCACUGGCCGGAGGGCGAUGGAAGUGCGGCGAAUGCGACCAGGCGGAGGGUGAUUUCGAUCAGGCCUACAUAAGAAACCACAUCCGUCAGUUUGUCAAAUUUAAAAAACAAACAGAGACAUCAAUCGCCGAUGAUUAUGAGACGACGACGAUGAUGAUAGGGACGACGACAACGACGAUGAUGAUAAGGACGACAGCGACGAUGAAACAUCGAGCCUAGUAAUGAUGACGAAAAAGAGGUCAUUAUUUACUGAGGCAGCUUAAUGCGAGACAACGAGAAUCACAUCUUCAUCAAAGAGCCCAAAGGUUAUAUACUUAAGUACUGGCACCUCGUCGCGUCCAAUGGCAAGCUGCUGAUGGUAAAGAAAACGAAGCAUGCACCGGCCAAAGUCAUACCCGGGCAAUACAAGGACAAGAUUGAGGUUCUGGAGGCGGACAUGGACGUCGGCGCCUGGGUUCCAGCCGCUGCCGCGUCAGUACACAUUCUGUUAACUUCCAUGGAAGAAGAUCACGUCCAUUCAUCAGGCUCAUCCCA